AUACCACUUUGAGCACGCCCGAUCUCGUCUGAUCUCGGAAGCUAAGCAGGGUCGGGCCUGGUUAGUACUUGGAUGGGAGACCGCCUGGGAAUACCAGGUGCUGUCAGCU
rnacentral:rRNA from 1 species